rnacentral:tRNA from 1 species
GCCGCACAAGCUCACCUGGUCGAGCACCUGUCUCGUAAGCGGGAGGCACUGGGUUCGAUUCCCAGGUGCGGCUCCA